rfam:Hespellia stercorisuis DSM 15480 genome assembly, contig: EJ65DRAFT_scaffold00089.89
UUUAACGAGAGUUUGAUCCUGGCUCAGGAUGAACGCUGGCGGCGUGCUUAACACAUGCAAGUCGAGCGAAACACUUAGAUCUGAUUUCUUCGGAAUGAAGAACUUUGUGAUUGAGCGGCGGACGGGUGAGUAACGCGUGGAUAACCUACCUCAUACAGGGGGAUAACAG